rnacentral:rRNA from 1 species
GUAGGUGGCAAGCGUUGUCCGGGAAUUAUUGGGGCAUAAAGCGCGCGCAGGCGGUUCUUUAAGUCUGAUGUGAAAGCCCACGGGCUCAACCGUGGAGGGUCAUUGGAAACUGGAGAACUUGAGUACAGAAGAGGAAAGCGGAAUUCCGACGUGUAGCGGUGAAAUGCGUAGAGAUGUGGAGGAACACCAGUGGCGAAGGCGGCUUUCUGGUCUGUAACUGACGCUGAGGCGCGAAAGCGUGGGGAGCAAACAGGAUUAGAUACCCUGGUAGUCCACGCCGUAAACGAUGAGUGCUAAGUGUUAGGGGGUUUCCGCCCCUUAGUGCUGCAGCUAACGCAUUAAGCACUCCGCCUGGGGAGUACGGCCGCAAAGGCUGA